GUGUCAGCAGCCGCGGUAAUACGUAGGGGGCAAGCGUUGUCCGGAAUUAUUGGGCGUAAAGCGCGCGCAGGCGGCGAUUUAAGUCUUCUGUUUAAUGCAUGGGCUCAACCCGUGUUCGCAGAGGAAACUGGGUGGCUGGAGUGCAGGAGAGGAAAGUGGAAUUCCACGUGUAGCGGUGAAAUGCGUAGAGAUGUGGAGGAACACCAGUGGCGAAGGCGACUUUCUGGCCUGUAACUGACGCUGAGGCGCGAAAGCGUGGGGAGCAAACAGGAUUAGAUACCCUCGUAGUCC
rnacentral:rRNA from 1 species